AGAGUUUGAUCCUGGCUCAGGAUGAACGCUGGCGGCGUGCUUAACACAUGCAAGUCGAACGAUCCUUCGGGAUAGUGGCGGACGGGUGAGUAACGCGUGGGAAUCUACCCUCAGGAGGGGGAUAACGGCUGGAAACGGCCGCUAAUACCCCAUAUGCCGAGAGGUGAAAUGAAUUUCGCCUGAGGAUGAGCCCGCGUCUGAUUAGCUAGUUGGUGGGGUAAGGGCCUACCAAGGCAACGAUCAGUAGCUGGUCUGAGAGGAUGAUCAGCCACACUGGGACUGAGACACGGCCCAGACUCCUACGGGAGGCAGCAGUGGGGAAUUUUCCGCAAUGGGCGAAAGCCUGACGGAGCAACGCCGCGUGAGGGAUGAAGGCCUCUGGGCUGUAAACCUCUUUUCUCAAGGAAGAAGACCUGACGGUACUUGAGGAAUAAGCCACGGCUAAUUCCGUGCCAGCAGCCGCGGUAAUACGGGAGUGGCAAGCGUUAUCCGGAAUUAUUGGGCGUAAAGCGUCCGCAGGCGGCCUUGUAAGUCUGUUGUUAAAGCGUGGAGCUCAACUCCAUUUAAGCAAUGGAAACUACAAGGCUGGAGUGUGGUAGGGGCAGAGGGAAUCCCCGGUGUAGCGGUGAAAUGCGUAGAUAUCGGGAAGAACACCAGUGGCGAAGGCGCUCUGCUGGGCCAUAACUGACGCUCAUGGACGAAAGCCAGGGGAGCGAAAGGGAUUAGAUACCCCUGUAGUCCUGGCCGUAAACGAUGAACACUAGGUGUCGGGGGAAUCGACCCCCUCGGUGUCGUAGCCAACGCGUUAAGUGUUCCGCCUGGGGAGUACGCACGCAAGUGUGAAACUCAAAGGAAUUGACGGGGGCCCGCACAAGCGGUGGAGUAUGUGGUUUAAUUCGAUGCAACGCGAAGAACCUUACCAGGGUUUGACAUCCUGCGAACCCCUGAGAAAUCGGGGGGUGCCUUCGGGAGCGCAGAGACAGGUGGUGCAUGGCUGUCGUCAGCUCGUGUCGUGAGAUGUUGGGUUAAGUCCCGCAACGAGCGCAACCCACGUCUUUAGUUGCCAGCAUUCAGUUGGGCACUCUAGAGAGACCGCCGGUGAUAAACCGGAGGAAGGUGUGGAUGACGUCAAGUCAUCAUGCCCCUUACAUCCUGGGCUACACACGUACUACAAUGCUACGGACAAAGGGCAGCAAGCUCGCGAGAGUUAGCAAAUCCCAUAAACCGUGGCUCAGUUCAGAUCGUAGGCUGCAACUCGCCUACGUGAAGGAGGAAUCGCUAGUAAUCGCAGGUCAGCAUACUGCGGUGAAUACGUUCCCGGGCCUUGUACACACCGCCCGUCACACCAUGGAAGUUGGCCAUGCCCGAAGUCGUUACUCCAACCCUUGUGGAGGAGGACGCCGAAGGUGGGGCUGAUGACUGGGGUGAAGUCGAAACAAGGUA
rnacentral:rRNA from 1 species